UAGAAUUCAAAGCAUAAAAUAAAUAUGUGUGAGUUCACACUGGUAUACAUCAAUAAUUGAAUGAAUAAAUGAAUGGACCUCUGAAGAGGGGAACAAGUAAAUGGAAUAAUCAAUCUCUCUUGUGGAAGAAUUCAAAUAAUCAUGCAAAUGUUUUCCUUUCAUGUAAGUGAAGUCAAUUACCUAUCCCUGGAGUAUAGGUGAGUCUUAGUAACUUGCGUCCAAAGAGUACAAUAUGGAAAGGGAGAACAAAUGCAACUUGAUAGUACAGAAUUGUGAUAAACUCUACCACAGUUAGCCACUUAAGAUGAGUAUUAACAGAAAAAGUCUUGUCGAUGUUGCGCACCAUGGACAUGAAGUGGUGAGUGACCCUUUACCUCUGUGAUCUUCCUUCCCAAAACCCAUAUCCCCAGUCUAAUAAAUACAUAAAGAAUAUUCCAGGUAAGGGGCAUUUCAUAAGUAUCUGACCAUAAUUUCCAAAACUGCCAGUCAUAAAAAAAUGACAGAAGUCUGAGAAAUCAGCACUGAGCGGAGCAAGCUGAGCAGAUAUAGAACAAAGCAACAGAAUGUCCUGCUCAUAAAACAGGAUUCUAUAGCAAUGCCAAUGCAGCCAGAAUUAUGGAUUAAUAUCAAUUCAAUUGGUCCCAUUUACCACAAUGUAUCAUAAGUUGUGCAAAUACACCACUAUUGCAGAAGUUGUUAACAAUAAGAUGAAUUGACUGUCGGGUAGAAAGGAACUCUAUGUUGUCUUUGUAACUUCCAAGUUAAUAUAAAAUAUUAUACUAUAUAUAUAUUAUAUAUAUAGUUAACAUGUGGACUUCGUUUAUGUUUGUCUUUCUAGCUCUGUCACCUAACUGGUUGGAUUUCUUGGGGAAUAUAUUCAAGUUGGAAAUGAAUAGCAGUUUGGACUUUUAAAGGAUGCCAGCCUUCUUAGAGAAUAGAGAAGAAAAAAAGACACACAGACUCACUUGUUUAUGUCAAGUAAGAAAGGAGAAACACUACAGAGCUUUGAAGAAUUAUAUCAACUCUGAAGUUCUGGCAAAAAGAAAUCAGAAAUUUCUCUAUGACACUGCACAGUAAGGACUUUUGUGCUUCCUAUUCAAAGGAAUGUUUGGAGACAUUAACCUUGAUCUACUAUUUGGCUGCUACACACAAAAUUCUCUCAUAUUGGUAGAGGGAAGAAAGUUUAGAUAGAAAAUGAAUUGUGAAUACAUACUUAUUAAUAAUUAAUAAAAUUAUGCAUAUAGAUAACA
rnacentral:lncRNA from 1 species